UACGUAGGGUGCAAGCGUUAAUCGGAAUUACUGGGCGUAAAGCGUGCGCAGGCGGUGAUGUAAGACAGGUGUGAAAUCCCCGGGCUUAACCUGGGAACUGCAUUUGUGACUGCAUCGCUGGAGUGCGGCAGAGGGGGAUGGAAUUCCGCGUGUAGCAGUGAAAUGCGUAGAUAUCGUAAGGAAGACCAGUGGCGAAGGCGAGUCUCUGGACAGUUGCUGACGCUGAGGCACGAAGGCCAGGGGAGCAAACGGG
rnacentral:rRNA from 1 species